rnacentral:ncRNA from 1 species
GGUCAGCAGAUAAGACCUAAAACAGUCGCACUCAAAGCGGACAGUUACACGCUUAAAACAACUUA